rnacentral:rRNA from 1 species
GUUUGAUCCUGGCUCAGAUUGAACGCUGGCGGCAGGCUUAACACAUGCAAGUCGAGCGGAGAGAGGUAGCUUGCUACUGAUCUUAGCGGCGGACGGGUGAGUAAUACUUAGGAAUCUGGCUAUUAGUGGGGGACAACAUUUCGAAAGGGAUGCUAAUACCGCAUACGUCCUACGGGAGAAAGCAGGGGAUCUUCGGACCUUGCGCUAAUAGAUGAGCCUAAGUCGGAUUAGCUAGUUGGUGGGGUAAAGGCCUACCAAGGCGACGAUCUGUAGCGGGUCUGAGAGGAUGAUCCGCCACACUGGGACUGAGACACGGCCCAGACUCCUACGGGAGGCAGCAGUGGGGAAUAUUGGACAAUGGGGGGAACCCUGAUCCAGCCAUGCCGCGUGUGUGAAGAAGGCCUUAUGGUUGUAAAGCACUUUAAGCGAGGAGGAGGGUACUGGUAUUAAUACUACCAGGUACUGGACGUUACUCGCAGAAUAAGCACCGGCUAACUCUGUGCCAGCAGCCGCGGUAAUACAGAGGGUGCGAGCGUUAAUCGGAUUUACUGGGCGUA